GCAUUAGUGUUAAGGUAGCAUAGUAAUUAGUUUUUUAAUUGGAAAAUGGAAUGAAUGGCUCCACUAAAGCAUAGUAUUUAUACUAAAAAAUGAAAUUUUAAUUUAAGUGAAAAUACUUAAAUGAUAUAUUUAGACGAGAAGACCCUAUGAAGCUGGUAGACCAUAAGUGUAAUUAUUUCAUAGUAGUAGGUCUAUUUUUUGGGGUAAAAUUUAAUAAUUAUAUUAAUACAGAUUUGUUCAAACUUAUCCUUCUGGAAUUAUGAAUAAGCUCCUCUAGGGAUAACAGCAUUAUGCUUAAAAGAGUUCUUAUCAGAAUAAGCGUUUGUGACCUCGAUGUUGAAUA
rnacentral:rRNA from 1 species